UCGUAUCCGAGAAUAGGAAACGUCGGGACUUUCCUAUAUUUGACAUACAAAAUGUCGAGUGCAAUGUUGUCCGAGCGUAUAAUACGUAUGAGUUCUUGCCAUGUCCGUUUCGCUGGCGUAACAAUAAUAUAACUCGUAGCUGUAGACGUCUACGUCCGCCACGUGUGACAGUGCACAAAGUCUAUACGAAUGGAACCUUCUAGAACUUUCGACGUACGCGAGCGGAGUGUGUCCUGGGUUGGCUGCGAAUGGGAUCAAGGGUUCGCUCGAGAUACUCCAAAAUGGUUAACCGAGUGGCGGCUGCAAAUAACCAUCCUCCUAGACCUUGCUGUAUCUAUGUUGCAUAGACUGCCUAAGGUACCUUGAGGUAUACGGGUGUACGUGCUUAUGGCUGGAGCCUUGAAUGUGAGCGGGGCGAGCUUCUUCGUGUCUUUAAAAAUGCAAAAUCAAAUCGCGCUGGCCAACCUAUCUGGGAAUCAUUUGUAAGCCAGCCUUUACCCACUGCGAACGUCUUCAAUGGAUAUUGGAUCUAACAAAUAACGCCGGCAAUGGCAUCGUCUUUAUCU